rnacentral:tRNA from 1 species
UCCCUUGUGGCUCAGUUGGUAGAGCAUGGUGUUUGCAACGCCAGGGUUGUGGGUUUGAUUCACACGGGAG